ACACUUGCCGUCAGUAUUUGAGUAUAUUGAUUAAGAAGGUAUAGAAGAUUAAUGCACGCACACUAUAAUCCACCACUGGCCUAAAUAGUUAGUCCGCAAACAACGAGGGUCAUAAAAACCCAGCACUUUGAACACAGCCACCGGCAUGCAUGGUGUGAAUCUGAAAGCUUCCUACUAUCCAUUUCUACCCAUAGAAAACUUUUGCCUUUCAUUUAUCAACAAUGAAAUAUGUUGAUAUUAAUGGUAUAUAAGAAUUAUUGGGGAAUUCAAACCAUUCCUAUUGUUGUCAGCAAGAUGAAAAGGACAAGUAUGCAGUUCAAAAUUGAAGAUGUGGAUAAGUUGAGGUUCUAGGUCUUACCUUUGCAGAUUUUCAUAUUUUGCAUGAAUGAAUUCAAAGGUUAUAUGAUCAUGAUGAUGGACAGCAGAGAAAGAAAAAACAACUUUUCAAUUAUCCUGCUCCUGGAUAAAUGUAAAACAUCUUGUUUUACGAAGGAUUGAAAUUCACCACCUAGAAUAAAUGGAGAAAACAUAGAAACAAGACCAGAAUAAAUUCAAAGACAAAAGUUGGAUUAGUUAUUAUUUUCAUCACUCAGUCAAUGAUUUGAAGUUCUUUUAAAUUCAAAAAAAUAUUGAAACCACAAUAAUGUCAAAGUUCUGUGCCGAAUGUCCAAAAAGUGGACUAUACCAUCAAACAAUGCUGGAUGAUAAGAAACUAUUAAUGUUUUGUGUUGAGAGAUAUUGUGAAAAAAAAUAGAUUUACUUAAAUAGCUACUAAUAUGUUAAGCCUAACAAUAGAGUUUUUAUUGAUUUCAAAUGGCAAAUAAUUGUGUUUCAAGAAAGUAUUCUAUAAUUCA